AGUAUAAAAAAAAAUUGGUCAUUGAUAAACAAUGUUUUGGACAUAAUAAUUGUAGUAUUCAUAUUAUAAUAUACAGCGCCAUAAUUCUUAUAUCCGCAUUUUUGUAUGACUACUUGCGCAUCUGCUGAGAAACGAAAUCCAAAUUUGCCCGUUUAGAAUCUUUGGCAAACCUCGGCGGAUGACGUACGCACAGGGAGUCCAGUUCGCACAGACUCGCAGUCAGACUGGUCUCUCGCAGGCGAGAGGAAUGAUUUUUUUUGAACAGGCGGCGGCGGACCAACACAUAUCUCCAAAGGAAAUCCUCCCUGGAUCCCUGUGAGACCCUCCUUGCAAGUCUGUUCUGCAUGGAGUCCUCCAUCAUCAGCCGGGGUUGCCAUUUGAUCACCUUGCAUGGCUGGAGCCUGUACCAUGUUUGCACUUUGUUUACAAGCUCUUUUCUCUUUCUUUAAAAGUGUACCUCAGAAAAAUACAGUGUAGUUAAGUAUUUUGACAAAUUGUAAUAAAAGGAAUGUAUGCACUUUUUAAAAGUGUAUUUUAUUUUAUUUCAAAUACAGUGCAAUUCAGUUAAAAAACAAAACAAAAUACAAUUCAGUAUACUUUGUCAAAUGCCACCAGUUUGAAGUUAUGUAUGUAAGGUUUUUUAAAAUAUAAAUAUUAAUGUUCAUUUUAACA